UCAUAGUGACUGGUUGUUCCAUUGUUUGGUUGAUUUGCAUAUUAGGCUUUUAUUAUAUAGGAUGGCUCUCACCAGUUCAGCUGCUCACAUUUGUACCUUUGUCCAUCCUUAGCCCAGAUUAUUCUGCUCUCUUUCUCCUUCUGUAAAGUGCUGGUUAAAAGGGAAGGUAGAUCAAAUCCUGGCUCUGCCACUCCCUGAGAUUUGGGGACAUCUUUUAGAUUAUCAAGCAAAACCUUUCCCUGUUUGUAAGUGGGAGAUAAGAACAGCACCAAUCUUGUGGUGUUGAGGAUUCAAGGAGUAAGUUGGGAUAAGUGCCCGUGCAUAGUGAGGACUCCACAAACAGCCUCUCUUAGUGUGAUGUGGGGCUCACUCCAUCCCUCCUUCUCCCUCUUUCCCUCCUUCCUUCCUCUCAUAUGUGUCCCAUCUGCUCACCUCUUUCCUCCAUAACUGAACAGAAUAAAGUCUUAAUGAUCCUAGACUAAUGAAGGAGGUAGGGUAGGGGAAGGAGGCAACAAAAAACCCUAAAGCCUGUUCAAGUUUACUCUCAAAUUGCAGCAUCUCCAACUGAACAGGUCUUUAACCAAGCUCUGAUCUGUAUGCCCCUCCGUCUCUCUUCCCAUCUCAUGAUCAGCAAUGUAGUCCUAUUUGUUGUUCUGGCCAAAAUUCUUAACGUCAUUUGUGUCUCCUCAUUUUCACACCGCACAAAACAUCCAUAAAUCCUGUCAGCACUUGCCCACUUCGGGGUUUCUGCAUUUGCUAUUUCAUCAGCUUGGAAUGACUUCCUUUUUCCUUGGGUUUCUGGUCUAGUUGUCACUUAUCUGAGAAAAGGUCCUGCCCCCACCUCAUCCUCCCCUUCCUGCCUUAUGAUCUCCAAUCUCUGAGGUCUCGCUAGCCUGUCUGACCUACCUCCCUUAUGGUUACCUGAAUGCUGGUGUGGUGGUGUGUCCCACCUCUCCUCUAGAACAUCAUUUCGUAAAGGGCCGGCUUGGUGUUGCUUGCUGCCGCAUCCCAGUGCUACAUCUGGAAUCCAGUAGAUGCCCAGUGAGUGUUGAAUAAUUGACUGACAGACAGAGCAAAUGAACCAUUCUUGAGGCCUGAAGGAAGUAAAGGAGAUUGUUCUCAGGCAAGGGAACAUGAUCUGAUUCAGGUUUUAAAGGGAAAGGAAAUUGCAUUCUUCAAACACGUCAGCAUCUUAAAAGACUGGGAAAGGCUAUGGAAGUUUUAGAUUGAAGUGUCUAAGGAGACAUGACAAAUAAAUGUAAUACUUGAUUCUCAACUGAGCCUGACCUGGAGGGAGAAGUACUGUAAAGAACUGCAUCAGUUGAAAAAAACUGGAGUCAAGGUAAUCUCACAGAUUACUAUUACCUACAAAGAGAAAAAGGUUCCUUUAUCAGUGGCAAAACCUGGCAGACACCUCCUUAACCAAGUGUUCAAACUGAUGAUCUUUAUCUCCUGAUGGACUGGGAGUGAGGUGCACAUCCGCACCCCUACACGUUCUUUCUGCAAUGAUUUACUGAAUACAGUCCCUGGGAAAUAGACAAAUACAGAGUGUGGAAUAGGCUGAGAGGAUUCUUCUAGAUUAAGGGAGACUAAAGAGACAUGCCAACCAAAUGCAACAUAGGAACUUUGGUUUCUAGACUAAAUAACAAGACAGCUACAAAAUAUUUGGGAACAGCUAGGAAAAUUUGGAUAUGGACUAUACUUUAGAUGGUGUUAUUCAAACUUAAAAUUCAUGGGUGUAAUAAUGACAUUGUGAUUACAUAGAAGGUCAUUGUUCUUAAGAAAUGUGUGCUGAAAUAUUUAGGCAUAAAGUGUCCUGAUCUCUACAAUUUACUUGCAAAUAGUUCAGCCAGGAAAAAAA